GACGAACGCUGGCGGCAUGCCUAAUACAUGCAAGUCGAGCGAACAGAUGAAGUGCUUGCACUUCUGACGUUAGCGGCGAACGGGUGAGUAACACGUAAGGAAUCUACCUAUAAGCGGGGGAUAACAUUCGGAAACGGGUGCUAAUACCGCAUAAUAUCUUCUUCCGCAUGGAAGAAGAUUGAAAGACGGCUCUGCUGUCACUUAUAGAUGACCUUGCGGUGCAUUAGUUAGUUGGUGGGGUAACGGCCUACCAAGACGAUGAUGCAUAGCCGACCGGAGAGGGUGAUCGGCCCCAUUGGGACUGAGACACGGCCCAAACUCCUACGGGAGGCAGCAGUAGGGAAUCUUCCGCAAUGGGCGAAAGCCUGACGGAGCAAUGCCGCGUGAGUGAAGAAGGCCUUCGGGUCGUAAAACUCUGUUAUAAGAGAAGAACAAAUUGUAGAGUAACUGCUACAGUCUUGACGGUAUCCUAUCAGAAAGCCACGGCUAACUACGUGCCAGCCGCCGCCGUAA
rnacentral:rRNA from 1 species